rnacentral:rRNA from 1 species
GACGUAGGGGGCGAGCGUUGUCCGGAUUUAUUGGGCGUAAAGCGCGCGUAGGCGGCCAGCACAAGUCAGUUGUGAAAUCUCCGGGCUUAACUCGGAAAGGUCAACUGAUACUGUGCGGCUAGAGUGCAGAAGGGGCAACUGGAAUUCUCGGUGUAGCGGUGAAAUGCGUAGAUAUCGAGAGGAACACCUGCGGCGAAGGCGGGUUGCUGGGCUGACACUGACGCUGAUGCGCGAAAGCCAGGGGAGCGAACAGG